UACGAAGGGGGCUAGCGUUGUUCGGAAUCACUGGGCGUAAAGCGCACGUAGGCGGAUCUUUAAGUCAGGGGUGAAAGCCCGGGGCUCAACCUCGGAAUUGCCUUCGAUACUGGAAAGCUCGAGUCCGGGAGAGGUGAGUGGAACUGCGAGUGUAGAGGUGAAAUUCGUAGAUAUUCGCAAGAACACCAGUGGCGAAGGCGGCUCACUGGCCCGGUACUGACGCUGAGGUGCGAAAGCGUGGGGAGCAAACAGG
rnacentral:rRNA from 1 species